rnacentral:rRNA from 1 species
CAAUAGCGUAUACUAACGUUGUUGCAGUUAAAAGCUCGUAGUUGGAUUUCUGUGGGGGACACGCGGCCGGCCAUCAGUGGUUGUAGCUAGUGUUGUUUUCUGCAUCUUGUCGCAAUUGCCACUGCCAUUCACUUGGUGGUGUGCAGGACCGACUCAUUUACUUUGAGAAAAUUAGAGUGUUCAAAGCAGGCUAUCGCCUCUGAAUAUGUUAGCAUGGAAUAAUGAUAUAGGACUUUGGUUCUAUUUUGUUGGUUGUUCGAGAACCGAAGUAAUGAUUGAUAGGGACAGUUGGGGGCAUCAGUAUUCUGAAGCGAGAGGUGAAAUUCUUGGACCUUCGGAAGACUAACAACUGCGAAAGCAUUUGCCUAGGAUGUUCUCUUUAAUCAAGAACGAAAGUUGGGGAUCGAAGACGAUUAGAUACCA